UACGUAGGGGGGCUAGCGUUGUCCGGAUUUAUUGGGCGUAAAGCGCGUGUAGGCGCCAGGAAGGUCCGCUGUGAAAACUCGAGGCUCAACCUCGAGAUGUCGGCGGAAACCCUCUGGCUAGAGUCCGGAAGAGGAGAGUGGAAUUCCCGGUGUAGCGGUGAAAUGCGCAGAUAUCGGGAAGAACACCCGUGGCGAAGGCGGCUCUCUGGGACGGUACUGACGCUGAGACGCGAAAGCGUGGGGAGCGAACAGG
rnacentral:rRNA from 1 species